UCCGAGUUGGCGGCGCAGAUCCUACGAGUGUCCCAGGGACCCUCGGCCUUCGUCGCGGGACCUCACAAGCGCAACUCGGAGCUGAUCAACUCCCUCCUGGGGAUCCCCAAGGUCAUGAACGACGCCGGAAGAAGAUGAAAAGAAAAUCUAUUGACUUUCUGAAGGCCCUGGCCAUGACGACGCCGACGUCUUCCACUCAUUGUGCUCAUCAGAUAUGUCCUCCUUGAUAAAAUAAAUGUUGCAACAUUAACGCAA